rnacentral:ncRNA from 1 species
UAAAGGUUUGGUCCUAGCCCUUCUAUUAGCCAUCAGUAGGAUUACACAUGCAAGUAUCAGCACCCCGGUGAAGAUGCCCUCUUAAUCACCAACGAUAGAGAGGAGCGGGUAUCAAGCACACUAUACAGUAGCUAAAGACGCCUUGCCUAGCCACACCCCCACGGGAUACAGCAGUGACAAAAAUUAAGCCAUGAACGAAAGUUCGACUAAGCCAUACUAGCCUACAGGGUUGGUAAAUUUCGUGCCAGCCACCGCGGUCAUACGAUUAACCCAAGUUAAUAGACAUACGGCGUAAAACGUGUUAAGGAGAUUACCCACACAAUAAAGUUAAAUCUUGGGCUAUGCUGUAGAAAGCUUUAGCCCAGACAAAAAUAAACCACGAAGGUGACUUUAAACAAUCCGACUACACGAUAGCUAAGACACAAACUGGGAUUAGAUACCCCACUAUGCUUAGCCCUAAACCUAAGCAGCUAAAUAACGAUGCUACUCGCCAGAGUACUACUAGCAACAGCUUAAAACUCAAAGGACUUGGCGGUGCUUUAUAUCCCUCUAGAGGAGCCUGUUCUGUAAUCGAUAAACCCCGAUAAACCUCACCAACUCUUGCUAAUACAGCCUAUAUACCGCCAUCUUCAGCAAACCCUAAAAAGGAAACAAAGUAAGCAAAAUCAUAAAACAUAAAAACGUUAGGUCAAGGUGUAGCCUAUGAGUUGGAAAGAAAUGGGCUACAUUUUCUAGUAUAGAACAUCGACGAAAAUUUUCGUGAAACCGGAAAUAGAAGGAGGAUUUAGUAGUAAAUUAAGAACAGAGAGCUUAGUUGAAUUAGGCCAUGAAGCACGCACACACCGCCCGUCACCCUCCUCAAGUAUAAAGAUACAAUGCCCAAUCCUAUUAAUAAAUGUACACACACAUGAGAGGAGAUAAGUCGUAACAAGGUAAGCGUACUGGAAGGUGCGCUUG